rnacentral:rRNA from 1 species
UACGGAGGGUGCAAGCGUUAUCCGGAUUCACUGGGUUUAAAGGGUGCGUAGGUGGGUUGGUAAGUCAGUGGUGAAAUCUCCGUGCUUAACAUGGAACUGCCAUUGAUACUACUGAUCUUGAAUUUUCAGGAGGUAAGCGGAAUAUGUCAUGUAGCGGUGAAAUGCUUAGAUAUCGAGAGGAACACCUGCGGCGAAGGCGGGUUGCUGGGCUGACACUGAUGCUGAUGCGCGAAAGCCAGGGGAGCGAACGGG